rnacentral:sRNA from 1 species
UCGUACAACCGAGGUGCGAGGGCUGUCGCUGUCCUUCAAAGGUCGUGCACGCCCGAAGCACUCUCRCACAUCCAUCUCACCCCUUUGUGCAUCACCGCGUGGGUCCUCCUCUUUUGCGGGAGGGUUCACGCUUUUUCACAUAAAACUUGAUACGGUCUAGAAUGUUUUAUUUUUGCGUUCACACGCGAAUCAUUACAACUUUCAACAACGGAUCUCUUGGCUCUCGCAUCGAUGAAGAACGCAGCGAAAUGCGAUACGUAAUGUGAAUUGCAGAAUUCAGUGAAUCAUCGAAUCUUUGAACGCACCUUGCGCCCCUUGGCAUUCCGAGGGGCACACCCGUUUGAGUGUCGUGAAACCCUCAAAACCCCCUUUCCUUUCAUCGGGAUGGGGGAUUUUGGACUUGGAGGUUCAAUGCUUGCUUUCAAAAGUGAGCUCCUCUUAAAUAAAUUAGUGGGGUCCGCUUUGCCGAUCCUUGACGUGAUAAGAUGUUUCUACGUUAUUGGARUUGGCACUGUUUUCUCUGCUCCUAACCGUSUCAUGGACAAUGAUGGUGCCCCGGUCCCCCCGCCCUCGGCGGGAGGGCKGGACCCACRAWACAAAC